rnacentral:tRNA from 1 species
UGCCUGGUGGUUUAGUGGCUAAGAUUCCACUCUCCCAAUGCAGAGGUCUCGGGUUAGAUCCCUGGCCAGGCAA